rnacentral:lncRNA from 1 species
GCAGGAAAUGAACUCUAUGCCGAGGAAAAUCAGACAAUGUAUGAAUUCACUUAUGACUUUUUUCCUCAUCAAAGUAUGGCUGGGUGGAAAAACAGGGAUCAUGAUUUAGUGGAAAAAAUCUAUUUGACAGUGAUCGCAUGCGUCAUACACAGCGCUCGCAUUCAAAUCCAAAAUGACGCGCACAUGUACUCGCCCAUAAAUAGAUGUUCUGGGGUUGAGAGUACUCAUUGAUCCGAAGAUACCAUGGGUCCUCCGAUCAAAGUGCUUUUCGCUGUGUCGCUCGCUGUGCUCUUUGUCCAGUGUGGUGCACGAAAAAAUGCUAACGUAGAGGACAUUGAGGUUUCAUCAACUGAUAAAACCUGGGCGGAUUUUGUGAAGGAUGAUGCGCAGGAUGUCGUGCCGGUUGCAACAGAUGAGAAAAGAUCAGUAGCACUUCAAGGCCUUGAUUCGAGCAUCAAUGACAUUGUUGUCGGAACGAAACAGCACUUGGACAUUGAGACAAAAUACGUUGAGAGGAUUAGCGGAUGGGUCGCGCGGGCUUCCAAAGUUGAGAGAGUGAGGAAAAUUGUGAGGAGAUUCCUGCAAAUAAACAGGAGAGACAUUGGUCAAAGCCGGAACACAGCGAAGGACAUCAUUUGCGACAAAUAUCAAAAUUUCAAGAGGACUACUAAGCUCGUCGAACCAUCAGACCCCGACAUCAUUGAACCAUGUUUCAACAACAAACUCGAACCAACGACAACCCGCCUGAAUAAAAUCAUCGCUGAACCGAAAAUGAACUAUCGCCGGAUCCGACACCAGCAGAAAAAACUCAUGAAUCAGAGUGAAGGACUGUCUACCUUUGAGCAAUGGAAGGGAUUCUAUGAGAAUACAGUCAAGAAAGAAGCACUGGAAACCUAUAAGAAAGAGUUAACGGCCAUAGAGGAGGCAUCACUCAAGGCUCUGAAGACCCUCUACAACGCUUACAUCGUCUGGGAUAAACUGGACGUGGAUAUGAAAGACGGUCUCAAAUAUCCAAGCGACGUCGAUGGAAAAGUAGAACUGGUUCAAGCAGCAAUUAACACUGGGGCUCAAUUCGGUUGCGAGGCAAUGUUGGAGGCUCAGCGGAAGGCGGACAGAGCUGAAAAGAGGAAGAGGGCUGCUGCUGCCCAAAGGGAAGCCGCCGUUGCUACCCAAAGGGCACCUGCCCAAGUCGAGAGUGAUGACUAAGCUUCAGGAGUAAAUGCGUUCGUUACCGAGAAAACCCGAUUUUAAGCGCAAGCGCAUUUGGACCGCGUUUAGCGGAAAGGAAAGCCAUAUCGGCUAUUGUCAAAAUGUAACCGGGCAGUUAAAUUUUUUACAAGAGAACGUUUGGGCGGAUUCCUUAGACAAUUUUAAGGAAAUUACCUUGUACUAAGCAGGAAAUUCCCUGAAAUUUGCAAAAAAGAAUUCCGCACAACCGUUUUCAUGUAAGAAAUUGAAUUGCCCGAUUAAAUUUGGCGAUAGCUGAUGUGACUUGGUUCUUUUCUGCUUAAUACGCGGUCCAACGGAGGCGUUGGGUGCAUAGUGAGCAUUUCUCAGUAGUGGUGUUUCAGAAUCGUCGGUGCUAAUUUAUCCUUUAGAGAGGACUAGAUGGGCGAAUUUUCUGAGAUUUUACGUUCACAGAAUUGUAAAGUCGUAGAGGAUAUUCAGUAAUAGUCACAACGAAUCACAUACGAGUUACUUUAAUCAUAGGCGGUUGAAGCGUUAGCGGAGAUUCUAAGACACCUGAACCGAGAAAUGCCCUCUCUACACUCAGCACAUUUAAUUGGACGUAUUUCUGUCAACUAGUAGUUGUUGUGCGCAGACAUUCAAUCCAAUAAGUAUUGGGGUCGGACCUAAAAAAGAGUGGUCUGGCCAAAAUAAUUUUUUUUUUCGUAAAGUACCACGAAAAACAGCCAAAAUUUAAUUGUUACAGAAUGUUGCAAACGUCGUAAACGUUAAAUUUAGAGGCAAUGGUGUGUCUUUUUUAACUCCCUGAAGACGUAUAAAUUGUUUGGUUUACGUUUAUGAGAGCAGACGAGUUUAUUUGAUGUUAAGAGUUUGGCCUGCGAAGGGUUGGACAAAUUAGUUUUGCCGAGGAAGUUUCGGUGUGGAAUAAAGCAGGUAGCCUGGAAUGAUAUCAUUUAAGAACGAAAAAUUUGGCCUGUGAGAGGAAUCAAGUGAAAUGGUUCGCCGAGGUAAGAUAGUAUCAAUGAACCCUGCUUUAAAUUAAAAAUAAAUUCUCAUUACACAAGUGCAACCAGUUUUGCAAAAAAAGGAACUAACUGAAGUCGGGUUUUCUUGGCAGCUAAUUUAUCUCCAAAAUUUUAAAGAAUUUGACAGGGAUACAAAGGCUGUCUACAUCACGGAUCACGUCAUUUUAAAAGAAGUAAAGAGCCAUAUAAAUUAGCAUAACCUAUAUUAUUUUGUGUUUAUAAGCGUUUGUGUGUGAGGGUGAGUGUGUUUGCAACUUAAUAUUUUUCAAGAAUUCGCAAUUUUACAAAUAAAUGUCAAAUACACGUUUUGCAAUGUACAUAAAAUAUAGUAAUUCAAUUCCCAUGUUUAUAGUCAUCAGCGAGGUUACACGGUUAGGCGCCUACACAUUCAGACGGAAUACUCUUGGAUUUGCUACUAAACAAAUGUUGCUUCUCUUAAGAAAUUUGUUCUUAAGAAAUACUUACUUCCCCUGAGAGUAGAUCCAUGUAAAAAAUAUUAAUGGCCGUGGUAAAAAUUAUUUUUUGACGGAGAAUCAACCAAGAUACCCUCUUGAUUUACCCUUUGAAUAUUUUUAAAUUAUAAAAGAAAAUUCACAGAGACUUUCACAACAAUCUCGUGAUUAGUUACAUUUUGUAAAAAAUAAAAUAUUAGCGGAAAUAAGCAACGUCACGGUCAGAAACUUUCAUUUUUAAACUCCAGCUAGUACCUUGCAAGACGUACUGUAACUAUUCAUAAAAGUUUUUACUAAAUUAAAACCUCACAUUAUUCAAGGAGCGUGGUGAAGAAACAAUAAGGCCAAGGUUUUCCAGAGGAAUUACAUGGUUUUUUAUUAGUUAAAUUUACAACUAAAAUUAAUUGUAAUAGACAGCGCAUAUACAAGGGUUUAAAUUGAGGAAUUCUCAAGUUAUCCUUCAUGAUAACAGAAAGGCUAACUUUUUAAAAUAAAUUUGGUACAUAAAUCCUCCCCAUAAAAUAAUACCCGUUAACUCCUUUAAAAUCAACACUGAAAAUUAUCUAUAUAAAAACAUACCACUUAAAAUGAGUUUGAAAACAACUUCGCCGACUGAGAAAAGGAUGCAAGUGUUUUCGGAAUGACUAAACGAUUAAUAAUUUCUCAUCCAUGAACUUCAUGGAAGAUAAAGUAGCUUGACAAAACGAACAACGGAAACUGAGUACAACCGAUACAAGGAUUACUCACAGAUAAGAAGAGACUGAAUUUGGUGAAAUAAGACAUAAUUUACUGCGAGGCAACGCCCUCUACGAGGGUUGUCCAGGAAGUAAGUUUACCUUUUCAAUAUCUCCUAAACUAAGAUAGGUAGAGAAAAUCUGUGAAAAGCGUUGAAAAGCCACUACUCUCGGCUCUAUAACGCGCUAUGGAUUUUUAAAGGCUAAAUAAAACUCUAGAAAUAAGGGUUUUUCUGAACCCACCUCCUCUCCGCACGGGUUCAAAAUUUGACGGAGCUUCAUUCGCACGUGAGCCGCUGUGUCUAUCGCUCGUGGCAACAACGUGGCUUCGGCGUGAUUGAAACACUUGGACUACAUUUUGCAAUUUGGAGCUAUAAAUUCUAGCCCGGUUUAAAAUCAACGUAUGUGCCAUUAGUUUCCCUAUGCACAUACGUGUUUUUCCAGCAGAGCCAGAAUUUAUAGUUCCAAAUUGCAAAAUGCAGUCCACUCGUAAAGCAUAAGGAAGGACAUACAUUUUCCAACAAGGAAAUAGCAGGAUUGACCGUGUUUACGUUGGUUAUCGGUGGGUUUGGACUGCAGUACGUGAAAAUGUUAAGUUACGUUUAGUCAACUCGUAGAGUUGUAACGCUGAAUUUGGUUUCGGUGUCUGAAUUGAGCUCUGUUAUUUGUUCUCUUGCCAAGGAAGGUGACCCUACCUGCUCAAAUUCAGGUUUCAUUUAUGUUAAAAGAGUUGUAAAAGCUUCAUAUUUUUCCAAAUCAUGCAUCUUUGACGGAAUUCUUCAAGCAAGGGCAGGAUAACUUGAAUUCUUAUGAAGGAUUCAGUUAACUAGUGAGAUUGAACUAGUGACAAUUUUGUGAAAUUUUGCUCGGAUGCAACUGAUUUUGAAGUGAACACGACUAGUCCUGCUAUUUCCUCGUUGGAAAAUGUCCUUACUUAUGAUUCACAUG